UACGUAGGGAGCAAGCGUUAUCCGGAUUUACUGGGUGUAAAGGGCGUGUAGGCGGGAUGGUAAGUCAGAUGUGAAAACUAUGGGCUCAACCCAUAGCCUGCAUUUGAAACUAUCGUUCUUGAGUGUUGGAGAGGCAGGCGGAAUUCCUGGUGUAGCGGUGAAAUGCGUAGAUAUCAGGAGGAACACCGGCGGCGAAGGCGGCCUGCUGGACUGAAACUGACGUUGAGGCUCGAAAGCGUGGGGAGCAAACAGG
rnacentral:rRNA from 1 species